rnacentral:rRNA from 1 species
CCCAGCAAUGGGCAACCGGCGAACGGGUGCGUAACACGUGAGCAACCUACCGAACUGUGGGGGAUAGCCGGCCUAACGGCCGAGUAAUACCGCAUACGCUUUCUAAAAGGCAUUUUUUGGAAAGGAAACCUACGGGACAGAUCGAGGGGCUCGCGGCCUAUCAGCUAGUUGGCGAGGUAAUGGCUCACCAAGGCUACGACGGGUAGCUGGUCUGAGAGGAUGGCCAGCCACAUUGGGACUGAGAUACGGCCCAGACUCCUACGGGAGGCAGCAGUGGGGAAUCUUGCGCAAUGGCCUAACGGCUGACGCAGCGACGCCGCGUGUGGGAUGAAGCUCCUCGGAGUGUAAACCACUGUUGCCCGGGACGAACAGCUCGAUUCAUCGAGCCUGACGGUACCGGGUGAGGAAGCACCGGCUAACUCCGUGCCAGCAGCCGCGGUAAUACGGGGGGUGCGAGCGUUGUCCGGAAUCACUGGGCGUAAAGGGCGCGUAGGUGGUUUGAUAAGGGUGUGGUGAAAGCCCGGGGCUCAACCCCGGGUCUGCCGUGCCGACUGUCAAACUCGAGGGCUGUAGAGGCAGACGGAAUUCCGGGUGUAGCGGUGGAAUGCGUAGAGAUCCGGAGGAAGACCGGUGGCGAAGGCGGUCUGCUGGGCAGUUUCUGACACUGAUGCGCGACAGCGUGGGGAGCAAACAGGAUUAGAUACCCUGGUAGUCCACGCCGUAAACGAUGGGUACUAGGUGCCUGGGGGAGCGACCCUCUGGGUGCCGGCGCUAACGCAGGAAGUACCCCGCCUGGGGAGUACGACCGCAGGUU